UGCAUUAGGCCUUUAUAUGGCCAAUUCCUUGAACAAAUAUGGGAUUCUGUACUGCCACAUGGCUGAGCCGAGAAUGGAGACAGUUGGAGAGAAAAGUGAAAGCCACCAGAGUCUUCUACCCAUGAGAGAGGCUUUCAAUGGUACCUUCAUUGCUGCUGGUGGUUUUGACAGGGAAGACGGGAACAAAGCUGUGGCAGAGGGCCAUGCAGAUCUCAUCGCAUAUGGACGUUGGUUUUUGGCUAAUCCAGAUUUGCCAAAAAGAUUUGAGCUCAAUGCUCCUCUAAACAUGUACAAUAGAGACACAUUCUACCUAUCGGAUCCGGUUAUUGGUUACACCGAUUACCCAUUUCUUGAAACCACUGCUUAAGUUUCCUCCAGGCUACGGACGCUUGAAGCCUUGAACACUCUACUUGUAGGCUUUGUUGUUACUUUUCUUUCACCAUAGCAUGUAGUUUAUAAGAAACAAAGUGAAUAAAAGUUCAAGGGAAGGUGGCCUUGGCCAACCAGAGAUAGUAACAUUCUUAUUUCUAGCAGAACAGGCCAUGCAAAAAAUAUAUAAAACAAAGCCAACAUUCUUCAGCUUAAUGCAAUGUAGAAGAGAUUUAGGUGCGUUUGGUAUCCUAUUUAAAUAGGGAACUUAAAAAUUUUGAUUUUAAUUAAAACAAGGAGUUCUUAAAUUUAUUUUUAAGAUUCAAAAACUUGUUUAGUAUGCAACUUGAAAAUUAUUUUCAAAUCUUAAAAAUUUGAGAACUUAUGGGAUGUUAGAAAAAAAACUGAAAAAAUAGAUAUUUUUUGUUUUUAAUAAUUGGAGUGUUUUUUAGUUGUUCUCGAGUUUGAGUUUUUAACAAUAGGGUUACCAAACAAGUUUUCUUUGUUUUGGACUCAAAUUCUGUUUUUGAAUUUAAGUUGAAUACCAAACAGCCUCUUAAGUAACUAUGAGAAAAGUUGAAUUUUUCCAUUUUGUGAGGGGUAAGGAGAGGAAUUGUGGGAGGUUGAGCCGACAUGUCAGCUAUCAGAAUUCACCUGGGUUUUGCUCUCGUGUUUGGGUUUUGGUUUUUGGGCUCUGGAAAUGAAAGGAAAGCCAAUGGGAAUUAAUACAUUUUGGUGGCAACUAGAAAUCCAAAGACAGCAGUUGGAAGCUGUGCAGUUUUUUAAUGCAAUGAUUGAGACGUUUGAUGACGUUUGCAAUUGCGUGGUGCCUAAUUUAAAAACAAAAACUGAACUAAAAGAUGUUCAAAUACAUCAGCGCCCAUGUAAAACAUCUUCUCAAAUCGAUGUUGUUGUUUGACCCAAAAAAAAAAAAAAAAUCGAUGUUGUCGCUCAUACUCGGGCUACGUUUGCAGUGACUUUGUUGUUGUGGUUCUCAUUUUUGAAUUCCCUUCUGUCUUCUAGAAUGAGUUGUGACGAAAGUAUCAAUUUAAUUGAUCUAGUUUUAAAUCACUAGAUAGUUACAACUAAGUACUAAUUUUAUCACAAAUAUUUAUCGUUCUAGUCAUUCAUAUAAUUCGAACUUGAACACUCCUCCAAUCAAGUAAAAACAAAUAACAGGAGACCAAAAAUUAAUUGAUACCAAAAAAAGAAGUAGUUAAAAGCUUAUAUGAUUAUAUUUUAAUAUUUAUUAAUCUAAAAUUGCCCCGAAUUCAUCUAAAAGGGACAAAUGUGCAAAACAUUAGUCUAUUAAACUGUAAAUAAUUAAAAAAAAUACAAACAACAAAUAUUUUUUUGUACAUAAUAAAAGUAUAAAUAAAUAAAAAUGAAUAAUGUUACUCUUACCACCUUUGUAUAUCAUAUUCUCAUACCACAUAAUAUAGCAGAUGAGGUGGACAGUCACAUGAAUUCAAUUUAUUUAACAUUUUCUUUUCUUUUAUGAUUUAUUAUUAACACUUUAAAAAAUACUGUUAAUUAAAAUUUCUUUAUUAAAAUAUAUUUUAUUAAUUUAAUUGAUGUGGUAUAUAAAUGUGGAAUAAAAAUAUGUUUAAGUGUAGCAUACUCAAAAAAAAAAAAAAAGUAAAUUUAGGUUUUACUCAUAAAAAAACUUUCACUUUUGGAAAAAGCCAAAGCUUUUUGAAAAAAGACGGAAUAACCUCUCAACUUUCAAACCAAAGACAUGCAAAUGUAAAGGAUUUCUUAGGAAAUCAAAAAAUAAAUAAGGGCAAUUUUGUCUAUUUUUGCUUCUUUUAAAAAUUCUCUCUCUCAUUUGGGCUUUUCCAAAAUCUCCCAAAAAAAAAAACGUGGGCGGACUAGUGAUUUGUAACGCACCACAUCUUCCAGGGAAGUUGGGGGUUGUGGGGCCCAUAAUUUGCUAUUAUUGUUGUUGUUUAUUUCCAACUGGACGUAUAAAAACCCAAUUGGGUUGCCUCAAUUCAUUACCAGAACAGAGAGCAAUCAAAAACCAAAACACACAAAAGGUAAAAGGCCAAGCUGCAAGAUCAAGUCCAUAGUAGGGGAUCUGAACUCUGACAUGGCUGCUCAACCUCCCACAAUCCCUCUCCUUACCCCUUACAAAUUGGGAAAAUUCAAUCUUUCUCACAGGUACUUGCUUAAUCUUUUCUACAUUGCAUUAAGCUGAAGAAUGUUGCCUUUGUUUUAUCUUUUUUGUCUAAAUUUGUAUGUUGGAUCAUUUUGUUAGUUAGUGCAUUAGUUAGCCAUAGCUAACAAGAAAAUUGAAGUUGCUGCUUAUGUUUAACCUAAUUUGGUUUACUGGGUAUUUUGGUCAUUGGGGUGGCUUGAUAGUUACAUAGCAAACUGCUGCAUUCUUUGUGAGUUUGGGUAAUGAAUAGGAAUUCUGGGGCUGUUUCUGCUGAUGUCCAGAAUUGAUAAACUAGUUGUCUUGCUUUCACAAUUGUGUAAUUGUCAAAUUCCCAGCUGCUUGCUCAUGCCCUUUUCUCCUAACGACAACGUUCCUCAGCCUCGCGCUUGUAUUUAUAAUUUAAAAUGUCUGUGUGUUUUUCAGAGUUGUUUUAGCGCCAUUGACUAGACAGAGAUCAUACCACAAUGUUCCUCAACCACAUGCCAUCUUAUAUUACUCUCAGAGAACAUCCAAUGGGGGACUUCUCAUAGCUGAAGCCACAGGAGUUUCUGACACAGCUCAAGGGUAAUUUGAAGUAGAGAAGCUUUCAAGUUCUGAUGUUUGAUUUUAAGUAACUAAGCUACAUUUGAGGGUGCUUUCUUCAUUUCAAUGUUUGAUGACAUUUUUGUUUCUUUUGUAUGCGAAGGUACCCAGAUACUCCUGGUAUAUGGACAAAGGAGCAAGUGGAAGCGUGGAAGCCCAUUGUUGAUGCCGUUCAUGCUAAAGAUGGUGUCUUCUUCUGUCAGAUUUGGCAUGUGGGGAGGGUUUCAAAUAGUGGUACGUUUCUGGCAUACGCCUUAUGACCUCACUAUCGUAGAAGAACUUGUGAGCAUAAGUGAAAAAUUAGACCAUUGAAGCAUCAUAAAGCUGAUUUACCUUUCAUAAUUCAUUAUGAAAACUCAAUGUUUUCAGCAUGAUUUUUUUUAGAUGGAAGAAACUUGAUAUAUCUAAAUAACUCAGAAUUUGAUAUAUGUUUGAAUUCAUUAUGAAAUUCAAUGUUUUCAGCAUCAAAUUUUUUAUGGAAGAAGUUUAAUACACUGAAAUAACUAAGAAUUCAGAAGUAGUAUAGCAUGUGCAAAGCUUCACAACAAGUGAGUGAUUAUGAUUGAUGAUAUCGUUGCUCAAAUGGCGAUCAAAUUGUGACAUGUUAAGAUCUGGGCUUGGUGUUGAUUGAUGGAACCAUUGUUUGUUAAACCAACAUGUAGAAUAACAUGAAAAAUGGAUAUGCUUGAUUGUCUGCAGACUAUUUCCAUGCACAAUUGGUGUUUUUAUUGAUUGAUCUAAUCUACCUGGAAAAAAAUAGGACUCUUUUUCUGAAAUCAUAAGUAUCAGUGAUGCUUCUCGACUUAAAAUUUUAAAUAAUCCGCAUUACUCCCACUUUUAUUGCAAUUUGAGACAACUGAUUCCCUCUUUGUGUGAAAGAGUAUGCUGCUGUGGCUGUGUUGUUUAUUAUCUUGAGACGUCAGAUUAUGAUUCUAUCUUUCCUUGUUUACAGGUUAUCAACCAAAUGGGCAAGCUCCAAUCUCUUCUACUGACAAGCCAAUACGAUUAAAUGGUAUUGAUGCCAGUGAAUUCACACCUCCAAGGCGAUUAAGGACCGAUGAAAUUCCACAAAUUGUCAAUGAUUUUAGACUCGCUGCAAAGAAUGCUAUUGAAGCUGGUAAUUUGUCUUUACGUUAAAAUGAAAUAGAAUUUGUGAGAACUCAAUUUGCUUCAGAGCUUGUGCAAAAUGAACCAUAUUUUAUCAGCUAAAUGUAGUAAAGUAAAGGGAAUAAACAUACUUCAAUACAUAUAUUACAAGUAGUCUUGCCAUAAUUAUUCUAUCUGCAGUUGCUAUAGUGAGCAACUAUAAGUAGUUUUAUGCUAAUGGCUUGAACUGAAUUUGAACUCCCACAUUAAUAUUAUUUGUUAUUCUUGACCUUCCACAUCAACAAUUUAGCUUUAGUGGUUUUGAGAGCCGACAUAAGAAAAAGGGAGUAGCUUUUGCUUAAUGAAUAAAAGGAUUGGUUCAUAUUUAGCUUUAGAAUUUCGUGAUUGUUUGAAUUUUGUGAAUCAUUAAUUGGUGUUGUAAUGAGCCCUUCUAACUGUAGGGAGGUCAAAAACAGUAUUGUAUUAAAGACAGGAGCCAUAAAAGCAAAAGUUAUCCAAGUUUUAUUUUCAAAAGGUUGUAUUAGAAGGAUGGAAUGAACAAGUCUUCUAGGCAUAUCAGUUAUCAUCUUCUCCUUGUUUCUCUUUCUUUUGUGUUGAAUGCAUGAGGCCAAAGGGGGAGGGGAUUCGAACUCUGGCCUUGAGUGUGGGGUAAAAAGCCCGCUACCACCGAAGCCACAAGCCCCUGCUCAUCUUCUCAUUGUUUCAAUUGCAUGGUAAAUAACCAUUAUUUCUUUUGUCUUGUACACUGAAAUAAUUUGUCUGCUAUAUACAGGCUUUGAUGGAGUUGAAAUUCAUGGGGCCCAUGGCUACCUUCUUGAUCAGUUUUUGAAAGAUCAAGUGAAUGAUCGAACAGACCAAUAUGGUGGAUCUCUAGAGAAUCGUUGUCGAUUUCCUUUGGAAGUCGUUGAAGCCGUUGUUAACGAGAUAGGAGCAGAUAAAGUUGGAAUUAGACUAUCUCCAUUUGCUGACUACAUGGACUCAGGGGAUUCAAAUCCAAAUGCAUUAGGCCUUUAUAUGGCCAAUUCCUUGAACAAAUAUGGGAUUCUGUACUGCCACAUGGUUGAGCCGAGAAUGAAGACAGUUGGAGAGAAAAGUGAAAGCCCCCACAGUCUUCUACCCAUGAGAAAGGCUUUCAAUGGUACCUUCAUUGCUGCUGGUGGUUUUGACAGGGAAGACGGGAACAAAGCUGUGGCAGAGGGCCAUGCAGAUCUCAUCGCAUAUGGACGUUGGUUUUUGGCUAAUCCAGAUUUGCCAAAAAGAUUUGAGCUCAAUGCUCCUCUAAACAAGUACAAUAGAGACACAUUCUAC
rnacentral:lncRNA from 1 species